AGCCUACGGGGGGCAGCAUUUAUUAAUAUUGGUCAAUGGACGAUAUUCUUAACCAGCCAAUUAUCUUUAAUUAUUACUUCCCUAUUUGUUGUAAACUUCUUUUAUAAAUUAAUAAAACGAUGCACGUGUGCCUUUUUGCAUGUACUUUAUGAAUAAGGAUCGGCUAACUCCGUGCCAGCAGCCGCGGUAAUACGGAGGAUCCGAGCGUUAUCCGGAUUUAUUGGGUUUAAAGGAAGCUUAUAUUUUUUUUUAAUUCAUUUUUGAAAGUUUGCGGCUCAACCGUAAAAUUGCAAUUGCUACUGGAG
rnacentral:rRNA from 1 species